rnacentral:rRNA from 1 species
AUACGGAGGCUCCAAGCGUUAUCCGGAAUCAUUGGGUUUAAAGGGUCCGCAGGCGGUCAAUUAAGUCAGAGGUGAAAGCCCAUCGCUCAACGAUGGAACUGCCUUUGAUACUGGUUGACUUGAGUUAUACGGAAGUAGAUAGAAUAAGUAGUGUAGCGGUGAAAUGCAUAGAUAUUACUUAGAAUACCGAUUGCGAAGGCAGUCUACUACGUAUAUACUGACGCUGAGGGACGAAAGCGUGGGGAGCGAACAGGAUUAGAUACCCUAGUAGUCC